CUACACGGGUUUCUAAUCCUGUUUGCUCCCCACACUUUCGCACCUCAGCGUCAGUAUCGAGCCAGUGAGCCGCCUUCGCCACUGGUGUUCCUCCGAAUAUCUACGAAUUUCACCUCUACACUCGGAAUUCCACUCACCUCUCUCGAACUCAAGACCAGAAGUAUCAAAGGCAGUUCCGGGGUUGAGCCCCGGGAUUUCACCCCUGACUGACUGGUCCGCCUGCGCGCGCUUUACGCCCAGUAAUUCCGAACAACGCUAGUCCCCUCCGUAUUACCGCGGCGGCUGGCAC
rnacentral:rRNA from 1 species